rnacentral:lncRNA from 1 species
CCGGCGAAGAGCUAGUGCAUCCACACCCGACCUGAGAUAAUCGCCAAGUAUCAGAUCCUCGAGCGGGUCGGAUCUGGUGCCUACUCCGACGUCUACCACGCCCGUCGUCUCGCCGACAACCUUCGCGUCGCUCUCAAGGAGGUCCACGACUACCAGUCGGCCUUCCGCGAAAUCGAGGCCCUCCAGACGCUCCACGACUACCCCAACGUCGUCGUUUUGUACUAGUACUUCCGGCUCGACGACGAGGACGCUGUGCUCGUGCUCGAGUUUCUGGCCAGUGACCUAGAGACUGAUCAAAGCGGCGAAGAAGAAGGAGGGCGGGAUUGGGUGCGGCGAGG